CCUGUAAGUGUCGGUCAUUACCACCGCUACACCGUUUAUACGACGGUUGCCAACACCCUGCCCCAAAUCCUGCCCGGCGACAAACGGAAUCCAAAGCAGCGACAGAGCUAUUCCCUUCCUUCCCUGAACCACAUCAGGUAACGACUUCGUCCCGCACAUCGCUUAACCACCAUCCUCACCAGUAGGUCUGGUAGACAUAGUAGCAGCCAUAGAUCAAAGAAGCAGAAAAAUCAAAUUAGAAGAGAUAAAGAGUUGGGGGAAAAUCGGAAAGGGCUCGCUGAAAAAGUUGCUUGGAAAGUGAGAUCUUAAAAUUUGGGUAGGUUUUUCAUUGGUUGUGUUUUCAGGUGUUUUAUUUUGAUAUCGGGGAGAACCGGAGGGGUCGGUUUCUGAAGUCAUCUUUCAGGUACGUGCAGUCCGUUACGCGAUGAGGAUGGGCAGCAAACGUUUCUGCAAGCACGUCAACGUACGUCUAUUCUUGCACCACGUGUUCCGAAGGAGCUGCUUUUUACUUCGUCUUCUUAUGUCGCGGGUCUUGUGAAGCACUAAAGUGCGCUUCUGGUAUGCGGAAAAGUAUUUCGUUGUCUUCCUUACAUCAAAGACCCAAGCCAGUCGCGAUAGUGGGUCAGUUUUGUUAAUUGCAGGUUGUAUUUCUUAACAUAUCAGUUUCAAAGUUGUGCGUUGCUGGUAACAAGACACAUAUGUAGAGAACAAAAUUGCUCAGACCUUGACGAGUGUCAACCGUGUUACUACAAAGGAUUCAUAAUAAAUCGGAUUGCAUAGAGUGUCGCUGCUGGUAAGAUUUUAUUAAUUGCAAAUUGUAUUUUUUAUUAUGUGAGCUUCAUAGUUGUAAGUUGUAUCUAAGGGGACAGGUGUGUAAGGUACAUGUAAUGUGCAAUAUUGCAAAUGCACCUGUACUGAGUUUCAUGUUUU